ACCCUUAGAUGUUCUGGGCCGCACGCGCGCUACACUGAUACGUUCAACGAGUUUACAACCUUGAUCGAAGGGUCUGGGUAAUCUUUUGAAUGCGUAUCGUGCUAGGGAUAGACUAUUGCAAUUAUUAGUCUUGAACGAGGAAUUCCUAGUAAACGCAAGUCAUCAGCUUGCAUUGAUUACGUCCCUGCCCUUUGUACACACCGCCCGUCGCACCUACCGAUUGAAUGACUCGGUGAAAUAUCGGGACCGUUGUCUGGUUUGAUUCAUUUCGAACUAGAUAGUGGGAACUUUCUUUAACCUAUUUAUUUAGAGGAAGGUGAAGUCGUAACA
rnacentral:rRNA from 1 species